rnacentral:pre_miRNA from 1 species
UAUAAGGGAUUUUGACAUUUUGCUUGCACUGUUUGACCAUUCGUCUUAUUCAAAAAAUUUUGGAACCAUUAUUUAUUUUUGUGACUUACUUUAUUAUCCAAAGUGCUUUAAGCACAACUUUUCGUUUUUUAUAUUUGCACAAAUUUUUUGAAUAAGACGAGUGGUCAAACAGUGCAAGCAAAAUGUCAAAAUCCCUUAUA